UACGUAGGGGGCUAGCGUUGUCCGGAUUCAUUGGGCGUAAAGGGUGCGUAGGCGGCGGGGCAAGUCUGAUGUGAAAUCCCGGGGCUCAACCCCGGAACUGCAUUGGAUACUGCCUUGCUCGAGUACUGGAGAGGGAACUGGAAUUUACGGUGUAGCAGUGAAAUGCGUAGAGAUCGUAAGGAAGGCCAGUGGCGAAGGCGAGUUCCUGGACAGUUACUGACGCUGAGGCACGAAGGCCAGGGGAGCAAACGGG
rnacentral:rRNA from 1 species